GUCUUAUUCAUGACAUAUGUAUAACUUUUGGCAUUGGUUAUUUGGCUCUUUUUUUCUUUUUUUUUAUGAUAGAUAUAAGACUAGUUCUCUUGGUGUUUAGAAACUAACCCAAUUCAUUAAGCUAACCCUGUAGCAUACUAGCUUCACUAUCCUACAUGUCCUCUACGAACAAAUGACAAGCAAAUAAAGAUGACAAUAUAAUAAAGUUUAAUCUAUAGUGUAAAACUAAUUUCAAGUCAUAAUUUACAACUCAACCCUCUGUUCCUAUACGUACAGCUACCUAACCUUCGAAGUAUAAGAUGCAGGCCAAAGCUGCACCCUCCGAUCCGUAGACCUUGCAUGUUCAAGCCCUGCCACUAUCCACAAUCAAAUAUAUGAGCUCUACCAAGGGCCUGUUAGUGUCCUCCGCAAGCAUUUCCUUUUAGAUCCCCAUUGCCGAUUUAUUGUCUCCAGGAACUG
rnacentral:misc_RNA from 1 species